rnacentral:rRNA from 1 species
UACAGAGGAGCCAAGCGUUGUCCGGAUUGACUGGGCGUAAAGCGCACGCAGGCGGAUGCGCGCGUGGGGUGUGAAAUCUGGCCGCUUAACGGCCAGGCGCCAUCCCAUACGGCGCGUCUGGAGUGAUGCAGAGGUCGGUGGAAUUGCCGGUGUAGUGGUGAAAUGCGUAGAGAUCGGCAGGAACACCCAGGGGGAAACCAGCCGACUGGGCAUCUACGUGACGCUCAUGCACGAAAGCGUGGGGAGCAAACAGG